rnacentral:rRNA from 1 species
GUUUGAUCCUGGCUCAGGAUGAACGCUGGCGGCGUGCUUAACACAUGCAAGUCGAACGGACGCUUUGGGAAACUGGGGCGUUAGUGGCAAACGGGUGAGUAACACGUGGGUGACCUGCCUCAGAGUGGGAACAACAGACCGAAAGGUUUGCUAAUACCGCAUACGCUCGAUGAUUCACUUGAUCGAGUAAAGGUGCAAAUCGCUUUGAGAGGGGCCCGCGGCCCAUCAGGUAGUUGGUGAGGUAAAAGCCCACCAAGCCGAUGACGGGUAGCUGUUCUGAGAGGAAGAUCAGCCACAAUGGAACUGAGAUACGGUCCAUACUCCUACGGGAGGCAGCAGUGAGGAAUAUUGCGCAAUGGAGGAAACUCUGACGCAGCGACGCCGCGUGGGUGACGAAGGCCUUCGGGUCGUAGAACCCUUUUAGCAGGGACGAGUGAGGACGGUACCUGCUGAAUAAGUCUCGGCUAACUACGUGCCAGCAGCCGCGGUAAAACGUAGGAGGCGAGCGUUAUCCGGAUUCACUGGGCGUAAAGCGUGCGUAGGCGGUCGGGUAAGUCGGAUGUUAAAGCCCCUGGCUCAACUGGGGGAGGUCAUUCGAUACUGCUCGGCUUGAGGAUGACAGAGGAGAGCGGAAUUCCCGGUGUAGCGGUGGAAUGCGUAGAGAUCGGGAGGAACACCAGCGGCGAAAGCGGCUCUCUGGCUCAUAUCUGACGCUGAGUGCACGACAGCGUGGGGAGCAAACGGGAUUAGAUACCCCGGUAGUCCACGCUAUAAACGAUGAGGGCUGGGUGUUGGUUUCAUUUGGAAUCAGUGCCGAAGCAAACGCGUUAAGCCCUCCGCCUGGGGACUACGAACGCAAGUUUAAAACUCAAAGGAAUAGACGGGGGCCCGCACAAGCAGCGGAGCGUGUGGUUCAAUUCGAUCAACACGAAGAACCUUACCAGGGCUUGACAUGCAUGUGGUAGGAAAGGGAAACCGGACCGACCCGCAAGGGAGCGUGCACAGGUGCUGCAUGGCUGUCGUCAGCUCGUGCCGUGAGGUGUUGGGUUAAGUCCCGCAACGAGCGCAACCCUCGUCGCUAGUUACAUGUGUCUAGCGAGACUGCCGGAUUAUAUCCGGAGGAAGGCGAGGAUGACGUCAAGUCAGCAUGGCCUUUAUGUCCUGGGCUACACACACGCUACAAUGGGUGCAACAGAGCGUUGCCAAACCGCGAGGUGGAGCUAAUCGCACAAAUGCACCCUCAGUUCAGAUUGCAGGCUGCAACCCGCCUGCAUGAAGCCGGAGUUGCUAGUAAACGCGCGUCAGCUAUAGUGCGUUGAAUGCGUUCCCGGGCCUUGUACUCACCGCCCGUCACGUGAUGGGAGCCGGUAACACCUGAAGUCGGUC